rnacentral:lncRNA from 1 species
GUUGCUUGGCUACGGCUCUUUGCUGGAGCCUGCCCGGCGCAGUUCGCGUGAUUAAGCAAAUGCCUUUCCUGGUGCUAGUAGGAACUCUCACCACCACCACCCCCAUUCCCCUCCAACCUUUGCUAGAGGAGAGAAGCCAGAGCCUGGAGGCCAAGUCCUUCAAACUCCAUUGCGACUCCUCCCGGCAGGGCGCGGCCUAAAGCCCACGGCGGAACGCUGGACUUAGACCAGGGAUGUCAGCAGGUCUGUCUGUCGGAGCAGAGGCUCUCCGGAAAAGGAAUACAGCUGGCAUCAAUCAGAUCCACAUCCCUGAGAGGACUGCAUCAACUCUUUUGGAAACUGUCUUCCCACCUUGAUGCCCUGCGCUGUGCAGCUUCUGAAAAUGACACACAGGGAACUUCACCCUGACCAGGAAAAUCAAGGCUCUGAGAACUAGUUUAUUUUCUUGGAACAGAUAUGUUUUUCCCUAGUGCCAUAGAAAACAAUACAUAUAAAUAAAAAGGCAGUGUUUCUGUGGAAAAUAAAAGUACAUAAAUAAAUACUAAAAAAAAAAA